rnacentral:rRNA from 1 species
ACGAACGCUGGCGGCGCGCUUAACACAUGCAAGUCGAACGGGCGUCUUCGGACGUCAGUGGCGAACGGGUGCGUAACACGUGAGUGACCUGCCCUCGUGCGGGGGAUAACCCGGGGAAACCCGGGCUAAGACCGCAUGAACUCGGUUUGUCGAGGCGGAUCGAGGAAAUCUCCUUUCGGGGAGAGUGCGAGGAGGGGCUCGCGGCGUAUCAGGUAGUUGGUGGGGUAACGGCCCACCAAGCCGAUGACGCGUAGGGGGUCUGAGAGGAUGGCCCCCCACAUUGGGACUGAGAUACGGCCCAGACUCCUACGGGAGGCAGCAGUGGGGAAUCUUGCGCAAUGGCCGAAAGGCUGACGCAGCGACGCCGCGUGCGGGAGGAAGCUCUUCGGGGUGUAAACCGCUGUCAGGGGGGGCGAAGGUCCCGGGGAGGCAAUGCCCCGGGGAUGACGGUACCUCCAGAGGAAGCACCGGCUAACUCCGUGCCAGCAGCCGCGGUAAUACGGAGGGUGCGAGCGUUGUUCGGAAUUAUUGGGCGUAAAGCGCGCGUAGGCGGCUCGGUAAGUCCUACUGUGAAAGCCCGGGGCUCAACCCCGGGAGGCCAGGAGAUACUGCCGGGCUGGAGACAGGCAGAGGCGAGUGGAAUUCCGGGUGUAGCGGUGGAAUGCGUAGAGAUCCGGAGGAACACCGGAGGCGAAGGCGGCUCGCUGGGCCUGGUCUGACGCUGAGGCGCGAAAGCGUGGGGAGCGAACAGGAUUAGAUACCCUGGUAGUCCACGCCGUAAAUGAUGGACACUAGAUGCCGGUGGGAACGACCCCUUCGGUGUCGAAGCUAACGCAUUAAGUGUCCCGCCUGGGGAGUACGGCCGCAAGGCUGAAACUCAAAGGAAUUGACGGGGGCCCGCACAAGCGGUGGAGCAUGUGGUUUAAUUCGAAGCAACGCGAAGAACCUUACCUGGACUUGACAUGCACAUGAAAGCCCGGUGAAAGCCGGGGCCUCUUUCGGGACGUGUGCACAGGUGCUGCAUGGCUGUCGUCAGCUUGUGUCGUGAGAUGUUGGGUUAAGUCCCGCAACGAGCGCAACCCCUGCCUGCUGUUGCUAACGGGUAAAGCCGAGGACUCUGCAGGGACUGCCGGUGAUAAACCGGAGGAAGGUGGGGACGACGUCAAGUCAUCAUGGUCCUUACGUCCAGGGCUACACACGUGCUACAAUGGCCGGGACAAACCGAAGCGAUGCCGCGAGGUGGAGCGAAUCGGAAAAACCCGGUCCAAGUUCGGAUUGCAGUCUGCAACUCGAGUGCAUGAAGGUGGAAUCGCUAGUAAUCGCGUAACAGCAUGACGCGGUGAAUACGUUCCCGGGCCUUGUACACACCGCCCGUCACACCAUGGGAGUUGGUUUUACCCGAAGCCGGUGCGCUAACCGCAAGGAGGCAGCCGACCACGGUAAGGUCAGCGAGUGGGGUGAAGUCGUAACAAGGUAACC